CAAUAGCGUAUAUUAAAGUUGUUGCAGUUAAAAAGCUCGUAGUUGGAUUUGUGGCGUACGGUGUGUUCCGGGCACUUGUUGCCUGAGUAACCUGCUGUUGCCAUCCUUGGGUGGAACCUGUGUGGCAUUAGGUUGUCGUGCAGGGGAUGCCCAUCAUUUACUGUGAAAAAAUUAGAGUGUUCAAAGCAGGCUUAUGCCGUUGAAUAUAUUAGCAUGGAAUAAUGAGAUAGGACUUUUUUGCUAUUUUGUUGGUUUGCGCAAAGAGGUAAUGAUUAAUAGGGACAGUUGGGGGUAUUCGUAUUCCAUAGUCAGAGGUGAAAUUCUUGGAUUUUUGGAAGACGAACUACUGCGAAAGCAUUUACCAAGGAUGUUUUCAUUAA
rnacentral:rRNA from 1 species